CCUACGGGAGGCAGCAGUGGGGAAUAUUGCACAAUGGGGGAAACCCUGAUGCAGCGACGCCGCGUGAAGGAAGAAGUAUUUCGGUAUGUAAACUUCUAUCAGCAGGGAAGAAAAUGACGGUACCUGACUAAGAAGCCCCGGCUAACUACGUGCCAGCAGCCGCGGUAAUACGUAGGGGGCAAGCGUUAUCCGGAUUUACUGGGUGUAAAGGGAGCGUAGGCGGGUUAGCAAGUCAGAAGUGAAAGCCCGGGGCUCAACUCCGGGACUGCAUGUGAAACUGUUGAACUAGAGUGCUGGAGAGGUAAGUGGAAUUCCUAGUGUAGCGGUGAAAUGCGUAGAUAUUAGGAGGAACACCAGUGGCGAAGGCGGCUUACUGGACUGUAAAUGACGCUGAGGCUCGAAAGCGUGGGGAGCAAACAGGAUUAGAUACCCCUGUAGUC
rnacentral:rRNA from 1 species